GAUGAACGCUGACAGAAUGCUUAACACAUGCAAGUCUACUUGAUUCUACUUCGGUAGUUGAUGGUGGCGGACGGGUGAGUAACGCGUAAAGAAUCUGCCCUUUAGUUCGGGAUAACCUUUGGAAACGAAGGAUAAUACCGGAUAUUAUGGAGACGUCGCAUGACGAUUUCAUGAAAGCUAUAUGCGCUAGAGGAGGACUUUGCGUCCCAUUAGUUAGUUGGUGAGGUAAUGACUCACCAAGACCGCGAUGGGUAGCCGGCAUGAACGGGGGCUCGGCCACAAGGGAACCGGGCCACGGUCCUAACUCCUAGGGGAGGCAGCAGUGUGGAAUAUUGGACGAUGGGCCACAAGCCUGAUCCAGCAAUUCUGUGUGCACGAUGAAGGUCUUCGGAUUGUAAAGUGCUUUCAGUAGGGAAGAAAAAAUGACGGUACCUACAGAAGAAGCGACGGCUAAAUAUGUGCCAGCCGCCGCCGUAA
rnacentral:rRNA from 1 species